rnacentral:lncRNA from 1 species
AUGUCUGCUUGUCCCACCUUGAGAUCAUCAUGGAGAGUGGCUCUUGAUGUUGCUUGUAGAGUCAGCCAGCCAUGGAAGGGGAGUAGGUUGUCUUACUCUGGUUUUGCUCCCAUGGAGCCUGGUCACCAGGACAGACGUAAAGAUGACUCAAAGAUGACUCCACCAUCUUGGCUGAACAGACACUGCACACACCUGUCAUGCUUAGAAGUGCUCCAAUGUUUAGAUAUUCAACCUGGCCAGCUUCGGUCCUUACAGAAUGCAGAAGACACCAAACAAAGCAUCGGGGAGUGCUGGCUUUCCGGUUGGUGGUGACGUCGGGUCCGGGGGCCGCCACUGAUGGAUCCGGGGGUGCCUAAGCCAGCUCAUCAGGCUGUCACACCCUAGCUGGCUCGAGAGGUUUCUUUCCCCGGUUGGCUCAGAAGGCACCAAUCCCACGUCAGGCCUCAGCUGGAUCGUCAGGAUUUUAUGCCCAGCCAGCUUGUCAGGCGGCUACGCCUCCACCGGAUCAUCAGGCUCCCACGCGGGAUCGACAGGCCUUCAUGCCUCAGCCGGCUUGCCAGGCUCUCACGCCUCUGCCUGUUCGUCUGGGUUUCACGUCCAGCUGGCUUGUUCAGCGCCCGUGCCUCAUCCGGCCCGUUAGGCUCGCCCAGGUGGGACGCUGGGUGGCACCCCUAGAGGGGGUUACUGUCACGCGCAUCAGCCUAUUAUUGGACUCACUUAGACUCAAUCACCUGUUUAUUGCCUCCCCUAUAUUUGUCAGUUCCCCAUCUCUGUUCUCCGCUGCUGCAUUGAUUGUUGAUUGUCAUUGUGUACCUGUGUGCUGACGCUGUUCCUGUCUUGAGCUUUGUCAGUUUCUCAUUUAAAUGUUCUACUCCCCGUUCCUGCUUCUCGACUCCAGCGUCGGUCCUUUCACUGUAUACCAACCCUACCUUGUCACAAAUGCAUUAAGAAAGAAAGAAAUUCCACAAAUGUACUUUUAACAAGGCACACCUGUUAAUUGAAAUGCAUUUCAGGUGACUACCUCAUGAAGCUGGUUGAGAGAAUGCCAAGAGUGUGCAAAGCUGUCAUCAAGGCAAGGGUGGCUAAUUUGAAGAAUCUACAAUAUAAAAUAUAUUUUGAUUUGUUCAACACUUUUGUGGUUACUACAUGAUUCCAUAUGUGUUAUUUCAUAGUUUUGAUGUCUUCACUAUUAUUCUACAAUGUAGAAAAUAGUAAAAAUAAAGAAAAACUCUUGAAUGAGUAGGUGUCCAAACUUUUGACUUGUACUGUAUAUUUACUAUCAACUUUAUAAAUGACAUCCUAUAAGAUUUUAGCUGUAUUUUUACUGUAAUAAUUCAUCAAUUAACUAGUGGGUUGGGAAAAGUAUCCUGAGUCCUUACAGCACUGCCUUGAUUCAUUCUUUCCUCCCCUCCUGUACAGUGGGUUAGUGACUCUAUGAAUUCCAGAUCUCAGCUUUUGUCUCCUAUAAAUGUUUUCCUGCUGUAAUGAUUACAAAUGAUGACUGUCUACAAAU